UGAGGGAGACGGCUUAAGCUUUUAUGAGCUAUAAUUUUUGUUGGUCGAUUAAGAUAGCAGGAUGGUGGUCAUAGAAGUUGAAAUCUGCUAAGGAGUGUGUAACAACUAACCUACCGAAUCAACUAGCCCUGAAAAUGGAUGGCGCUAAAGCACAUGACCUAUAC
rnacentral:ncRNA from 1 species